UACGUAGGGUGCGAGCGUUGUCCGGAAUUAUUGGGCGUAAAGGGCUCGUAGGCGGUUUGUCGCGUCGGGAGUGAAAACCAUGGGCUUAACUCAUGGCUUGCUUCCGAUACGGGCAGACUAGAGGUAUGCAGGGGAGAACGGAAUUCCUGGUGUAGCGGUGAAAUGCGCAGAUAUCAGGAGGAACACCGGUGGCGAAGGCGGUUCUCUGGACAUUACCUGACGCUGAGGAGCGAAAGUCUGGGGAGCAAACAGG
rnacentral:rRNA from 1 species